rnacentral:tRNA from 1 species
CAUUGAGAAGCUAUGCAACAGCACUAGCCUUUUAAGCUAGAGAAAGAGGACCACCCUCCCCUCCUCAAUGG